UACGUAGGGUCCGAGCGUUGUCCGGAAUUAUUGGGCGUAAAGGGCUCGUAGGCGGUCCGUCACGUCGGGAGUGAAAACUCAGGGCUCAACCCUGAGCGUGCUUCCGAUACGGGCGGACUAGAGGUAUGCAGGGGAGAACGGAAUUCCUGGUGUAGCGGUGGAAUGCGCAGACAUCAGGAGGAACACCGGUGGCGAAGGCGGUUCUCUGGGACGGUACUGACGCUGAGACGCGAAAGCGUGGGGAGCGAACAGG
rnacentral:rRNA from 1 species